GUGUCCCAGAACUGCAGAAGAAGCCUCCUGUCCCUGGGGUCAAACAAGUGUGCAGAGGAGCCACAAUGGAGCUCUGCAGCCUGAAGACUCUAGUGGCCACCUGUGUCUUCACAGCCUUUGUGUUCAGUACUGUGGAGACUUAUACCUGUACCCAGUGCUCUAUUGGGGAGUGUGACACUAAGAAGCAGACUUGUGAGACUUCUCAGGGCUGCUUCAGCAACAAGCAAGAACUUAACACAUCAGG